rnacentral:rRNA from 1 species
GUUGAUUCUUGAUUGUUAAGCUACGUAUCGGAGCAUUGCAGAGUUUCAUAUUCAAGAACGAAGAUAGGAUCAGGCAAUCAGAAUCGUUCGUAGUCUAUCUUUAACUAGCGACUAGGGAUGAUGAACAUCACAUUUCAGUACUAUGAGGAAUCAAGGUCUUUGGUUCUGGGGGGAGUAUGUCGCAAGACUGAAACUUAAAGAAAUUGACGGAAGGCACAACGGGGAGUGGAGCCUGCGGCUUAAUUUGACUCAACACGGGAAACUUACCAGGUACAGACAUAGUAAGGGAUUGACAGAUUGAUAGCUCUUUCUUGAUUCUGUGGUGCUGUGCGUGACGUUCUUAGUUGGUGGAGUGAUUUGUCUGGUUAAUUCCGAUAACGAACGAGACCUUAACCUGCUAACUAGAUAUUUUCAUUUUAUGAAUAUAUCUUCUUAGAGGGACUAUAUGCUUUAAGUAUAAGGAAGUAUGAGGCAAUAACAGGUCUGUGAUGCCCCUUAUAUGUCCUGGGCUGCACGCGUGCUACACUGAUAUAUACAACAAGUGCCUAGCUAGAUAUAGUAUGGCAAUCUCGAAUAUAUAUCGUGAUGGGGAUAGAUCUUUGCAAUAUAGAUCUUGAACGAGGAAUUCCUAGUAAGUGCAAGUCAUCAUCUUGCAUUGAUUAUGUCCCUGCCCUGGGGGAGACACCGCCCGUCGCUCCUACCGAUACCGGGUGAUCCGGUGAACCUGUUGGACCCUUGGGAAAAAUAAGUAAUUCAUAUCACCUAAGGAAGGAGAAGUCGUACAAUAAUCGCUCCCUUCCCCGUCUCG